GGUGGUAAACUCCAUCUAAGGCUAAAUAUGACCACGAGACCGAUAGCGAACAAGWACCGUGAGGGAAAGUUGAAAAGAACUUUGUAGAGAGAGUUCAACAGUACGUGAAACCGUUCAGGGGUAAACCCGUGAAACCCGAAAGGUCGACGGGGGAGAUUCAACGCGGUGUCCGUCGUGCUGCGUGCGUUGCGGCUGGGCGACGUUCGGGCUCCGGCCCGUCGCGCCCUCCCUUCGCGCCGCCACGGCCGCGUGCACUUCUCCCUCGGUAGGACGUCGCGAUCCGUUGGGCGUCGGUCUACGGCCCGCGGUGGAGCCCGGUGCGMUUCGGCGCGCCGGACCCGCGGUGACCCGGCCGGCUCGCCCGACGGCAGUCGAACGGCGCGUGGCCGCCUCAGGGCGUCCGGGUGAUCCUCGGACAGAGCCUCCGCCAGUCGGCGACGCUACAGCUUUGGGUACUCACGGGACCCGUCUUGAAACACGGACCAAGGAGUCUAGCGUGUGCGCGAGUCGUUGGCACUCGUUAGAGCCAAGGGCGAAAUGAAAGUGAAAGCCGACCUCGCGUCGGCCGACGGAGGAUGGGCGUUCCUUCGAGAGCGCCCCGCACUCCGCGGGCGCCUCGUUCUCAUCGCGAGGAGAGGCGCACCGAGAGCGUACACGCUGGGACCCGAAAGAUGGUGAACUAUGCCUGGUCAGGACGAAGUCAGGGGAAACCCUGAUGGAGGUCCGUAGCGAUUCUGACGUGCAAAUCGAUCGUCGGAGCUGGGUAUAGGGGCGAAAGACUAAUCGAACCAUCUAGUAGCUGGUUCCCUCCGAAGUUUCCCUCAGGAUAGCUGGCGCUCGUGUCAAGAGUCUCAUCCGGUAAAGCGAAUGAUUAGAGGCGUCGGGGUCGAAACGACCUCGACCUAUUCUCAAACUUUAAAUGGGUGAGAACUCCGGCUUGCUCGAUCGAAGCCGGAGGCUCGGAUCAGAGCGCCAAGUGGGCCAUUUUUGGUAAGCAGAACUGGCGCUGCGGGAUGAACCGAACGCCGAGUUAAAGCGCCUAAAUCGACGCUCAUGGGAUACCAUGAAAGGCGUUGGUAACUUAAGACAGCAGGGCGGUGGUCAUGGAAGUCGAAAUCCGCCAAGGAGUGUGUAACAACUCACCUGCCGAAGUUACUAGCCCUGAAAAUGGAUGGCGCUGAAGCGUCGUGCUCAUACUCGGCCGUCGGCGGCACGUGCGGUCGCGCCUUCGGGCGCGGCCAUGAAGCCCCGAUGAGUAGGAGGGUCGCGGCGGUGAGCGCUGAAGGACCGGCCGUGGGGCCGUCUGGAGCCGCCGUCGGUGCAGAUCUUGGUGGUAGUAGCAAAUACUCCAGCGAGGCCCUGGAGGACUGACGUGGAGAAGGGUUUCGUGUGAACAGCCGUUGCACACGAGUCAGUCGAUCCUAAGCCCUAGGCGAAAGCCGAUGCAGAUGCGGCGCUGUCUCACGCCAACAAACUCGUGGUUUGAAUAGUAGGGUAUUGCAGUCUGCCGGGAGCGCGCCGGAGUUCGAGCGAGCGAACCGCCCCCGCCCGUGCCGCGGCGCGCUCGCGGAGUAGUUAUUCCGCGAGCGCGCAUUGCUGCGUGAUAUUCCGCGCCGCGAUCCGCGGCCGCGUCUCUAGACCACGGUGCGCCGCAGGUCGGCCCGAGCAGGUGCCCGCAGGGGCCCCCUCGCCGCCCGCGCACCAGAGACGACGGCCCGUUCGCGGCGGCGACGAUGCACGCCUUGUAGCGGACUUCGGGCGCACGGGGAGCGGCGAGCGAGCGAGAGUUCCCUCCGGCAGCCGAGUCCUCCUGAGCGGGUGCGCAGUGCUGCGUGAUGUUCCGCGCCGCGUUCCGCGGUCGCGUCUCUCGAUCGAUCGGUGCGCCGCAGGUCGGCUUGCGAAGGUCGCCCCCGCAGGGGCCCCCUCGCCGCCCGCGCACCUUCGGCCGGAGAGACGGCGACCCGUUCGCGGCGGCGACGAUGCACGCCGCUGCUGCCGCCCCCGGGACUCGGUGCUCUUGGGAUUGUGCCCCGAAAUUCAGAAAACGGCGUUGAAAGGCACGCGCCCGUCGGGCGAAAGGGAAUCCGGUUCCUAUUCCGGAACCCGGCAGCGGAACCGUCACCGUUUCGGGCCCUCAUUGUAGAGUUCGUCGGGGCAACCCAAAAGGACCCGGAGACGCCGUCGGGAGAUCCGGGAAGAGUUUUCUUUUCUGCAUAAGCGUUCGAGUUCCAUGGAAUCCUCUAGCAGGGAGAUAUGGUUUGGAGCGCGAAGAGCUCUGCAGUUGCGGCAGAGUCCGGAUCUUCCCCUCGGACCUUGAAAAUCCGGGAGAGGGCCACGUGGAGGCGUCGCGCCGGAUCGUACCCAUAUCCGCAGC
rnacentral:rRNA from 1 species